rnacentral:rRNA from 1 species
GACGAACGCUGGCGGCGUGCUUAACACAUGCAAGUCGAACGGAAAGGCCCUGCUUUUGUGGGGUGCUCGAUUGGCGAACAGGUGAGUAACACGUGAGUAACCUGCCCUUGACUUUGUGAUAACAUCAGGAAACUGGGGCUCAUAUCGCAUAGGAGCUCCUGCUGCAUGGUGGGGGUUGGAAAGUUUCGGCUGUUGUGGAUGGACUCGCGGCUUAUCAGCUUGUUGGUGGGGUAGUUGCUUACCAAGGCUAUGACGGGUAGCCGGCAUGAGAGGGUGACCGGCCACAAUGGGCCUGAGAUACGGCGCAGACUCCUACGGUAGGCAGCAGUGGGGAAUAUGGCACAAUAGGCGGAAGCCUGAUGCAGCAACGCCGCGUGCGUGAUGCCGGCCUUUGGGUUGUAAACCGCUUUCGCCUUUGACGAAGCGUGCGUGACGGUAAUGGGUAAAGAAGCACCGGCUAACUACGUG